GCCCAAAAUCUAGCCUUCAAGACUCACAUGAACCCCCUUCCUACUGACUCCUAAACAAAACAUUCUUCCAUUAUAGUACAGGUGAUAGAAAAAAUUCUUAAGCGCUUUAGACAAAGUACCGC
rnacentral:rRNA from 1 species